AGGGAUGCUACCCUGGUUGUCCUGCCAGUG
rnacentral:rRNA from 1 species